UAGAGAAUCUUGUGCAAUAAACGAAAGUAUGACACAGAGAGGACACAUUUAAUUAAGCCCGUCAAAUUAAGUGCCAGCCGACGCGGUUAAACUUAAGGGCUGGUCUUUAUAAGUAAAAAGGCGUAAAGGAUGUGUAGGCCAAGAAACAAUUAAAGUAGGUAAAUGGAAUUUUUCUGGAGCGGUAGAAUGCGAGGAUAGAAAAUAGAACCCCUAAGGUAAAAACUAUUUACCACAAGGUAGGCUGAAACAUGAAAGUGUGGGGAGCAAACAGGAUUAGAGACCCUGGUAGUCCACACUGUAAACUUUGAAGAUGAUGCUUAGCAGACCCGAAAGGUAAAAUCUUCCGCCUGAGUAGUACGAUCGCAAGAUUAAAAUUCAAAAACUUUGGCUGUUCACUAUUUCGAUUAGAGGAGCGUGUAGUUUAAUUCGAUGGUCCGCGUGUUACCUUACCCCAACUUGAAUCUGUGACCGGUAUUGCAUGGCCGUCGUAAGUUCGUGUAUUAAGCUAAAAGGGACCCAACCCGGGCAUUUGCCCGGAGGAAGUCAGGUCUUAUGAUCCGAAUGUUGGGGGAUUUUAUGCGCUACAUUUUCUUAUAUAAUGGGAAACCUGAAAGGUGAGCCUCUAAAGUAAGAGUUCGGAAGGUCGCUGUAAGACGACUGGAAGUUGGAUUUAAUAGUAAUCGGAAAGUAGGGCGUUCCGGUGAAUUGGUACAAGUGUUAGCACAAAUUGCCCGUCACCUUUACCUAGAAUGGUUAUUCGGACGUCUUCGGUGAUUACGAAUGCCUACGAGGUAAAGCAAGUCGUACAAGAG
rnacentral:rRNA from 1 species